CUAGCAUAUCAAUAAGCGGAGGAAAAGAAACUAACAAGGAUUCCCUUAGUAACUGCGAGUGAAGAGGGAAAAGCUCAAAUUUAAAAUCUGGCGGUCAUUUGGCUGUCCGAGUUGUAAUCUAGAGAAGUGUUGCCCGUGCUGGACCAUGUACAAGUCUCCUGGAAUGGAGCAUCAUAGAGGGUGAGAAUCCUGUCUUUGACAUGGACUCCCAGUGCUUUUGUGGUAUGCUCUCAAAGAGUCGAGUUGUUUGGGAAUGCAGCUCAAAAUGGGUGGUAAAUGCCAUCUAAAGCUAAAUAUUGGCGAGAGACCGAUAGUGAACAAGUACCGUGAGGGAAAGAUGAAAAGAACUUUGGAAAGAGAGUUAAACAGUACGUGAAAUUGCUGAAAGGGAAACGCUUGAAGUCAGUCACAUUGACUUGAAAUCAGCUCUGCUUUUGCUGGGUGUACUUUCUUGCCAAUGGGUCAGCAUCAAUUUUGACCAUUGGAUAAAGUCGUUGGGAAUGUGGCAUCUUUAGAUGUGUUAUAGCCCAGUGAUGCAUACAGUGGUUGGGAUUGAGGAAUUCAGCACGCCACCAGGCCGGGUUUUUUCGACCACGUUCGUGCUUAGGAUGCUGGCAUAAUGGCUUUAAUUGACCCGUCUUGAAACACGGACCAAGGAGUCUAACAUAUCUGCAAGUGUUUGGGUGGAAAACCCAUGUGCGUAAUGAAAGUGAAAGUUGAGAUCCCUUUUUCUAGAGGGAGCAUCGACGCCCGGACCAGACCUUUUGUGACGGAUCCGCGGUAGAGCAUGUAUGUUGGGACCCGAAAGAUGGUGAACUAUGCCUGAAUAGGGUGAAGCCAGAGGAAACUCUGGUGGAGGCUCGUAGCGAUUCUGACGUGCAAAUCGAUCGUCAAAUUUGGGUAUAGGGGCGAAAGACUAAUCGAACCAUCUAGUAGCUGGUUCUGCGUCU
rnacentral:rRNA from 1 species